rnacentral:rRNA from 1 species
GACGAACGCUGGCGGCGUGCUUAACACAUGCAAGUCGAACGGAAAGGCCCUGCUUUUGUGGGGUGCUCGAGUGGCGAACGGGUGAGUAACACGUGAGUAACCUGCCCUUGACUUUGGGAUAACUUCAGGAAACUGGGGCUAAUACCGGAUAGGAGCUCCUGCUGCAUGGUGGGGGUUGGAAAGUUUCGGCGGGUGGGGAUGGACUCGCGGCUUAUCAGCUUGUUGGUGGGGUAGUGGCUUACCAAGGCUUUGACGGGUAGCCGGCCUGAGAGGGUGACCGGCCACAUUGGGACUGAGAUACGGCCCAGACUCCUACGGGAGGCAGCAGUGGGGAAUAUUGCACAAUGGGCAGAAGCCUGAUGCAGCAACGCCGCGUGCGGGAUGACGGCCUUCGGGUUGUAAACCGCUUUCGCCUGUGACGAAGCGUGAGUGACGGUAAUGGGUAAAGAAGCACCGGCUAACUACGUG